UGGGGAAUAUUGGGCAAUGGGGGAAACCCUGACCCAGCGACGCCGCGUGAGGGAAGACGGUCUUCGGAUUGUAAACCUCUGUCUUUAGGGAAGAGAUAGGACGGUACCUAAAGAGGAAGCCACGGCUAACUACGUGCCAGCAGCCGCGGUAAUACGUAGGUGGCAAGCGUUAUCCGGAAUUACUGGGUGUAAAGGGAGCGUAGGCGGGGCGAUAAGUCAGAUGUGAAAUACCUCGGCUCAACCGGGGAGCUGCAUUUGAAACUAUUGCUCUUGAGUGAAGUAGAGGCAAGCGGAAUUCCGUGUGUAGCGGUGAAAUGCGCAGAUAUACGGAGGAACACCAGUGGCGAAGGCGGCUUGCUGGGCUUUUACUGACGCUGAGGCUCGAAAGCGUGGGUAGCAAACA
rnacentral:rRNA from 1 species